GCCUCAAUAGCUCAGUGGUAGAGCGUUGCACUUGUAUAUCACAUGUUAAUCUAAUGAUUUGGCAUGCAAAGGUCGGUAGUUCAAUCCUGCCUUGAGGCU
rfam:Sphaerulina musiva SO2202 unplaced genomic scaffold SEPMTscaffold_13, whole genome shotgun sequence.